CAAACCAGUCCCUGAGAUCUUGUCGUCAGGAACAUAGAGGUAUAUAUUAACAUAGAGGGAGCCUACCUUCCGCGCUUCCUGACGACAAGAUCUCAUGGACUGGUUUGCUGCAUCUCUUUCUAACACAUUGUAUCGACAAUCUAUGAUGACAUUCAGUGUGAAUAUAGGCACGGAAGAGGAGGACAACUGUAGCAGCUUUACUAUGCGUAAGAGUGAAACAGCACUAAUCCAAAUAAAAAAGAUGGUGUCGUCACUUCGCUCUGAAUGACACUCUCUCUAUGCUAAUAUAUAACUCUAUGGUCAGGAAGCGCGGAAGGUAGGCUCCCUCUAUGUUAAUAUAUACCUCUAUGGGUGAGACGGGGCCUUGGCGGUUCAAGGGAUCGUACAAAUGUGUCGUCUUGGAACGAACCUAAUGUAUAUUCCCUAUGUACAGCAGAACGAUUUACGUACUGUAUUAUGAAUCAGUAGAAACGGAAACGAUUAUAAAUAUUUAAAUUUGGUAAAUUAUAACUCCACUCGACCAGCCCACGACCACACAACUCGAAAUACACGUACGCAAAUACGGUUGCGUGGCUCGAAGCCGUGGAAUUUACGAGACUCGCUCGGUCUGUAGAUCCUUGUGUCAAAUUGUGUAAAAAAAAUCAAAAGUCAAAGCAAAAGGCAAGGAAGGAAAAAGCGAAAAGCAAAGUGUUAAAUUAAAAUAUUAGGGCGCUGGCGGUAUGAUGUGGUGUGGAAUGUGGGCUAUAUAAAUUAAACUAAGUGAUUAUUAGUAUAGCUAAAAGAAGCUUUUGAUUUUACUUUUUGGAUGUAUAUGUAAAUUCAAAUAUGGAUAUAAAUCAAGAAACCAGUGAGAAAACUUGUAAAAUAGAACUAGAAGAGACGUGUGGUGGUCCCUUGGAUGGCUUCAAAGUUGAAAUUAAAGAAGAACCAAAGACAGAACCCGCAUACGACACAUUUGAAUAUUUAGACUUAAAGAAAUUCCCCCUAAAAACUGAAGUAGAACAAGAUGAAUAUAAAUUUACACCAUUUGAAGAAAAGCAAACAACCAAUGAAGAAAGUUGUUCCCAAGAGGAGAAUAAACUGAAAAUUAUGGAAACCUUACAUUCGCCUCAUAAAGAAGGCUGCCAGGUUGAAGGAAAUGUAUUAAACAAAAAUUUGAAAAUUGCGAUUGGAGACAGACCUUACAAAUGUGAAUUCUGUUUCAAGCAAUUUACUAAAGUGUCUCUUUUAAAAGUGCAUUUGCGAAUACACAGUGGAGAAAAACCUUAUAAGUGUGAAAUGUGUUUAAAGCGAUUUGUUAGAAAAGGUGAUUUGAAGAAACACGUGAGAGUUCACACUGGAGAAAAACCUCAUAAGUGUGAAAUUUGUUUGAAGCAGUUUAAUGAAGCACAUGGUUUGAAACUUCAUUUGAGAGUGCACACUGGAGAGAUGCCUUAUAAGUGUGAAAUUUGUUUUAAGCAGUUUAGUCAACAGGUUCAUUUGAAAACGCAUUUGAUGUUUCACACUGGAGAAAAACCAUAUACGUGCGAUAUUUGUUUUAAACAGUUCUCUCGGAAAGAUCAUUUGAAAACACAUUUGAGAGUGCACACUGGGGAAACACCUUAUAAGUGUGAAAUUUGCUUAAAGCAGUUUUCUAACAAAAGUCAUUUGAAAACACAUUUGAGAUUGCACACUGGGGAGAAAUCUUUCAAGUGUGAUAUUUGUUUCAAGCAAUUCAGUAGAGCAGAUAACUUGACAGUACAUUUGAGAGCGCAUACUGGUGAAAAGCGUUUCACAUGUGAAAGUUGUUUUAAGUCGUUUAGUGCAGCACAUCAUUUGAAAGAUCAUAUAAGAACCCACACUGGAGAAAAACUUUACAAGUGUGAAAUUUGUUUAAAGUUAUUUACUAGGGCAAGUUAUUUUAAAGCACAUUUGCGAACACACAGUGGAGAUAAUCCCGAGUGUGAAAUUUGUUUAAAACAAUUUACUACAAAAAGUGAUUUGAAAACACACUUGAGAUUGCACACUGGAGAAAAACCGUACCAGUGUGAAACUUGUCUUAAGCAGUUUAACCAAGCAAGUCAUUUAAAAACCCAUUUGAGACUGCACACUGGAGAAAAGCCUUACAAGUGUGAAAUUUGUUUUAAGCAGUUUUCUCGAGUAGAUAAUAUGAAACAACAUAUGGGGAUACACCGACAAAAAACCGAACAAGUGUGACCCCCUCCCCUCACACUGUUCUGUGGCACUUUUAGGCCAGUAAAAGACCGUUUUUAGUGUAAUUUUCAGGGGCAACUCCGAAUUGCAUGAACAUUUUACUACAAGUUUUACUAUAAACGUAUACAGUAAUCCCUCUUCAACCGAGGGGGUUACGUUCCGAAAAGAAAGGCGGUUGGUGAAACCGUGGUUGGCGAGGGAUCCACGAUCCAAAGAAGAAUAUGACAUAAGGUUGUUCCCAGGAGGACAACAAAAUGAAAAUUAUGGAAACCUUACAUUCGCCUCAUAAAGGACGCCACCAGGUUGAAGGAAAAAUAUUAAACAAAAAUUUGAAAAUUAGGACUGGAGACAGACUUUACAAAUGUGAAAUUUGUU
rnacentral:misc_RNA from 1 species